rnacentral:rRNA from 1 species
AGCAACCUGCCUUUCAGAGGGGGAUAACAUUUGGAAACAGAUGCUAAUACCGCAUAAGAUUACAGUACCGCAUGAUACAGUGAUCAAAGGAGCAAUCCGCUGAAAGAUGGGCUCGCGUCCGAUUAGGUAGUUGGUGAGGUAACGGCUCACCAAGUCGACGAUCGGUAGCCGGACUGAGAGGUUGAACGGCCACAUUGGGACUGAGACACGGCCCAG